rnacentral:rRNA from 1 species
AAUACAGAGGGGGCAAGCGUUGUUCGGAAUUACUGGGCGUAAAGGGCGCGUGGGCGGCCCGCUAAGUCGAACGUGAAAUCCCCGAGCUCAACUCGGGAACUGCGUCCGAUACUGGCGGGCUUGAAUCCGGGAGAGGGAUGCGGAAUUCCAGGUGUAGCGGUGAAAUGCGUAGAUAUCUGGAGGAACACCGGUGGCGAAGGCGGCAUCCUGGACCGGCAUUGACGCUGAGGCGCGAAAGCUAGGGGAGCAAACGG